UACGUAGGGGGCAAGCGUUGUCCGGAAUCAUUGGGCGUAAAGCGCGUGUAGGCGGCCAGGUAAGUCCGUUCUGAAAGUCCAGGGCUCAACCCUGGAAAGCCGGUGGAUACUGCCGGGCUAGAGUCCGGAAGAGGCGAGUGGAAUUCCUGGUGUAGCGGUGGAAUGCGCAGAUAUCAGGAGGAACACCGAUAGCGAAGGCAGCUCGCUGGGACGGUACUGACGCUGAGGCGCGAAAGCGUGGGGAGCGAACAGG
rnacentral:rRNA from 1 species